CCUACGGGUGGCAGCAGUGAGGAAUAUUGGUCAAUGGGCGCGAGCCUGAACCAGCCAAGUAGCGUGAAGGAUGACUGCCCUACGGGUUGUAAACUUCUUUUAUAAAGGAAUAAAGUGAAGCACGUGUGUCUUUUUGUAUGUACUUUAUGAAUAAGGAUCGGCUAACUCCGUGCCAGCAGCCGCGGUAAUACGGAGGAUCCGAGCGUUAUCCGGAUUUAUUGGGUUUAAAGGGAGCGUAGACGGGUUGUUAAGUUAGUUGUGAAAGUUUGGGGCUCAACCGUAAAAUUGCAAUUGAUACUGGCAAUCGUGAGAGCAGUUGAGGUAGGCGGAAUUCAUGGUGUAGCGGUGAAAUGCUUAGAUAUCACGCAGAACUCCGAUUGCGAAGGCAGCUUACUAAACU
rnacentral:rRNA from 1 species